rnacentral:rRNA from 1 species
GGGUGAAAUCUGGUGCCGCUGGUGUCGAAUAGUUGGGUAUUAGUCCGAGAAAUUUUUAAGCUACUAAGGUUUAGAUUUAAAACAGGAUUAGAUACCCUGUUAUACUAGACUGAAAAUCUAUCACUUGAGUAGUAAACAGUUAUACUCUCGAAACUUAAAGGAUUUGGCGGUAUCUUAGUCUCGUUAGAGGAAUCUGUUCUGUAAACGAUAAACCACGAAGUAUCUUACUUCUUCUUGUAUUUCAGUUUGUAUACCGCCAUUAUUAGAUAGUUUUUAUAAAAAUCUAUUAGAAGAGUAAAGAGCUAGUAUAUUAGGUCAAGGUGCAGCUAAUGGGGGAGUGAGUAAUGGAUUACAAUGGUAUGAGUGUAUCACGAAUUGGCAAGUGAAUAUUUGCUUUGAAGGUGGAUUUAAUACUAAAGCCUAUUUAAUAAGUGGGCUUGAUAAGAGCUCUAAGAUAUGUA